rnacentral:rRNA from 1 species
GACGAACGCUGGCGGCGUGCCUAAUACAUGCAAGUAGAACGCUGAAGGAGGAGCUUGCUUCUCUGGAUGAGUUGCGAACGGGUGAGUAACGCGUAGGUAACCUGCCUGGUAGCGGGGGAUAACUAUUGGAAACGAUAGCUAAUACCGCAUAAUAGUAGAUGUUGCAUGACAUUUGCUUAAAAGGUGCAAUUGCAUCACUACCAGAUGGACCUGCGUUGUAUUAGCUAGUUGGUGGGGUAACGGCUCACCAAGGCGACGAUACAUAGCCGACCUGAGAGGGUGAUCGGCCACACUGGGACUGAGACACGGCCCAGACUCCUACGGGAGGCAGCAGUAGGGAAUCUUCGGCAGUGGACGGAAGUCUGACCGAGCAACGCCGCGUGAGUGAAGAAGGUUUUCGGAUCGUAAAGCUCUGUUGUAAGAGAAGAACGAGUGUGAGAGUGGAAAGUUCACACUGUGACGGUAUCUUACCAGAAAGGGACGGCUAACUACGUG